AUUGAACGCUAGCGGGAUGCCUUACACAUGCAAGUCGAACGGCAGCGCGGACUUCGGUCUGGUGGCGAGUGGCGAACGGGUGAGUAAUAUAUCGGAACGUGCCCAGUCGUGGGGGAUAACGUAGUGAAAAUUACGCUAAUACCGCAUACGACCUAAGGAUGAAAGCGGGGGACCGUAAGGCCUCGCGCGAUUGGAGCGGCCGAUGUCAGAUUAGGUAGUUGGUGGGGUAAAGGCUCACCAAGCCGACGAUCUGUAGCUGGUCUGAGAGGACGACCAGCCACACUGGAACUGAGACACGGUCCAGACUCCUACGGGAGGCAGCAGUGGGGAAUUUUGGACAAUGGGCGCAAGCCUGAUCCAGCAAUGCCGCGUGCAGGAAGAAGGCCUUCGGGUUGUAAACUGCUUUCGUACGGAACGAAAAGGCUCUGGUUAAUACCUGGGGCUCAUGACGGUACCGUAAGAAUAAGCACCGGCUAACUACGUG
rnacentral:rRNA from 1 species